rnacentral:rRNA from 1 species
UACGUAGGGUGCAAGCGUUAAUCGGAAUUACUGGGCGUAAAGCGUGCGCAGGCGGUGAUGUAAGACAGAUGUGAAAUCCCCGGCUCAACCUGGGAACUGCAUCUGAAACUGCCGGUCUUGAGUACUGGAGAGGGUGGCGGAAUUCCUGGUGUAGAGGUGAAAUUCGUAGAUAUCAGGAGGAACACCGGUGGCGAAGGCGGCCACCUGGACAGUCACUGACGCUGAGAUGCGAAAGCGUGGGGAGCAAACAGG